CUUGUUUCAGUGGGAACAAAUAUUUCGGCUGUCCUGGAGUCUUCAUCAAGCUGAAUUUUGAGCAUUGGCCUUGUCAUGGUGCAGUGCGAUUUCAUCACUACAGCGCUUCGUACAGACCGGGUAUAAUCGAAGAUGCUAUAAAGGGUAUUUCAUUCAGCGUCCAGCCCAGAGAGAAGGUAGCCAUCGUGGGCAGAACUGGUGCAGGGAAAUCCUCCAUUAUAUUGGCGUUGCUGCGUAUGAUUCCGUGCACAUCAGGUUCUAUCACCAUUGAUGGAAUUGACAUUUCUCGCGUACCACUGAAGACACUUCGCUCUGCAAUCAGCGUCAUUCACCAAGACCCAUCGCUGUGGUCGGGAACGCUGCGUGAAAAUUUGGAUCCCGAAGGCUGCAGCUCAGAUGGAGAGAUCUGGAGAGUUCUUGGAAGCGUCUACUUGAGUACAUUUGUUGAAAAUAGCGUCGGUGGUCUUUCUUUGCUCAUAGGAGAAAAGGGUGGAAACUUGAGCGCCGGCCAACGUCAACUGGUGUCGCUAGCUCGCGCGCUCCUGAGAGGGACCAGGAUUCUUGUUCUUGAUGAAGCCACGUCACAAAUGGACCCGGAGACGGAUCGCAGAGUACAGGCAACAUUGCGAGAAAGCUUUGCCCAUUGCGCCGUUAUUACAGUGGCGCAUC
rnacentral:lncRNA from 1 species